rnacentral:misc_RNA from 1 species
GUUCUUUCAACUUUCUACAUCAACAAUUACAAUUCUUGGUGAUAUUGAGAUCAUAUAUUAUAGCAGUAAUGUACGAAUAAAUUUGGAAACUUCAAGCCUUGUUUAAUUGAUUAAAUUCUUCCGUAGCAGUUCUUACCCUUCUCUGAUUGCUAAAGCUUCAGCUUUCAAGGAUCAUCAUGGAGAUUCCAUUUUUUCAUUAGGAAGGGAUUGAAUUCUUCUAAUAUAAUUAAUUUCUUGAUGCAUCUUGCUACACUUAGUUAUCAAGGACGAAUUGUAAUAAGCUUGAAGAGAAUAUUUAUGUUCUUGCAUGAAAUUUUGAAAUGCAAUAAGCUAACAAGAACGUGAGUAAUAUGAAGUAUUACAGAAGCAUUGCUUCUGCUUUCCUAGAGUAUAAAGAAAGAAAGAACCAUUACAAUUAAAUGCAACACCAAAAGCAACAAAAUCCACAGGCUCUAAACACAUAUUGAGAACCCAGGAAGAGACAUGACCUUUUCCAUGUACAUAUUUAGAGCACAGAAACAACAGAAUAAGAGUUAUAAAAAUAUACCAGAAUCUGAUUAACUCGUUGUCAUGAUGAUCGAGCAAAUACCUUCGAGCCUCGAGCUUGAGCCUGAGCCUGAGCCUGAGCUUGAACCUGAACCUCAAGCGCAGAUCAUGUCAUGAAAACGAAGAGAAUCUCCCAAAUUUUUGCGUGACAAAAUCUAUAAGUAGCCUUGCAUAUCUAGCCACCUCCCACCACCCCUAAACCAACCCACUAAGGCAUUAAAGCCAUGGUGGGUGAUGUGGGUUUAGCACGUUGGGGGUGGCACUAAUGCUAAGAGAAAUAACUGAUUAUUAGCUUGAAGUAGCUAAUAGGUAGAUGGAGAUGGUGAUCAAUAGGGAAUGUGAAUGUGUCUGUGUGUGUGUAUAUAUAUGUCCUUAUAAACGAGAAGCAUAGAGAUUUUAAACUAUGGGUGGUUCCUUCUCCAAUGGCCGCAUCUUCCAAGGGAUAUGCUGCGACCAUCUGCUCCAUUGCUCCACAUAUGACCACAGCUUUACUCCUUUUUCUCCACUAUACUUUUUCAAUAUCUUGCCAUUCUCACUAACAUAGAAUAAAUUCCUCUAAUUCUGUAGCCCUCACACGCCACACGCUCCAAUGAAUUCAGUUAACAUGGCAAGCCAUGAAGACAAAACCUGCCGAAAGUAACCAAAAUGUUAAACCCAUCUAGGCGUGUGAUGACACAGUGAGAUGGGUCUAAGCCUCUUUCUGCAACUUAUUAUAAUGUUCCUACAAUUGCUUUUCUGCUUGUCUCCAUUUCUUCUGUUAAAAAAGCAAGGUUUCUUUCACUGUUCCUAAUUUUAAUUAUUAGGAUCAGCAUUAAGAUGCUAUUGAUGUCCUUUCCAGACCAAUGUGGAGCCAUUCAAGUUAUAAUUGGUUGCUGAGAUUUGCAUUCUAUGGUCCACUUUGAAGUUGGAGCAUAAGCAUAAUUAAGGGACUAAAUUCAAAUUUGAGCAGAGUCCAAAGUAUAGGGCUAUUGGGGGAUGAGAUCAACUCCAAGAAGGGCAUAGAGUUCUCUACUUUGAUUUCCAAGAAGUUAAUAUGUGACAUUUUAUUCAAAUCGGACUGAAAAUCAAGAAUUG